rnacentral:rRNA from 1 species
GGCGGACGGGUGAGUAAUAAAUAGGAAUCUGCCUAGUAGUGGGGGGACAACCUGGUGAAAACCAGGCUAAUACCGCAUACGCCCUACGGGGGAAAACGGAGGAUCUUCGGACCUCGUGCUACUAGAUGGGCCUAUAUCAGAUUAGCUAGUUGGUAAGGUAAUGGCUUACCAAGGCGACGAUCUGUAGCUGGUUUGAGAGAAUGAUCAGCCACACUGGGACUGAGACACGGCCCAG